rnacentral:misc_RNA from 1 species
GAUGAAGAACGAAGCGAAAUGCGAUAAGUAGUGUGAAUUGCAGAAUUCAGUGAAUCAUCGAAUCUUUGAACGCACAUUGCGCCCCUUGGUAUUCCAUGGGGCAUGCCUGUUCGAGCGUCAUUUGUACCUUCAAGCUUUGCUUGGUGUUGGGUGUUUGUCUCGCCUUUGCGUGUAGACUCGCCUUAAAAUAAUUGGCAGCCGGCGUAUUGAUUUCGGAGCGCAGUACAUCUCGCGCUUUGCACUCAUAACGACAGCGUCCAAAAGUACAUUUUACACUCUUGACCUCGGAUCAGGUAGGGAUACCCGCUGAACUUAAGCAUAUCAAUAAGCGGAGGA